UGGGAUAAAAGGUGUGUGCCACCAUGCG
rnacentral:piRNA from 1 species